rnacentral:rRNA from 2 species
AACGACUCUCGACAACGGAUAUCUCGGCUCUCGCAUCGAUGAAGAACGUAGCGAAAUGCGAUACUUGGUGUGAAUUGCAGAAUCCCGUGAACCAUCGAGUCUUUGAACGCAAGUUGCGCCUGAAGCCACUAGGCCGAGGGCACGCCUGCCUGGGUGUCACGC